rnacentral:rRNA from 1 species
AAGUCGAACGGCAGCAUGAUCUAGCUUGCUAGAUUGAUGGCGAGUGGCGAACGGGUGAGUAAUACAUCGGAACGUGCCCUGUAGUGGGGGAUAACUAGUCGAAAGAUUAGCUAAUACCGCAUACGACCUGAGGGUGAAAGUGGGGGACCGCAAGGCCUCAUGCUAUAGGAGCGGCCGAUGUCUGAUUAGCUAGUUGGUGGGGUAAAGGCCCACCAAGGCGACGAUCAGUAGCUGGUCUGAGAGGACGAUCAGCCACACUGGGACUGAGACGCGGCCCAGACUCCUACGGGAGGCAGCAGUGGGGAAUUUUGGACAAUGGGGGCAACCCUGAUCCAGCAAUGCCGCGUGUGUGAAGAAGGCCUUCGGGUUGUAAAGCACUUUUGUCCGGAAAGAAAUCGCACUUACUAAUAUUAGGUGUGGAUGACGGUACCGGAAGAAUAAGGACCGGCUAACUACGUGCCAGCAGCCGCGGUAAUACGUAGGGUCCAAGCGUUAAUCGGAAUUACUGGGCGUAAAGCGUGCGCAGGCGGUUGUGCAAGACCGAUGUGAAAUCCCCGGGCUUAACCUGGGAAUUGCAUUGGUGACUGCACGGCUAGAGUGUGUCAGAGGGGGGUAGAAUUCCACGUGUAGCAGUGAAAUGCGUAGAGAUGUGGAGGAAUACCGAUGGCGAAGGCAGCCCCCUGGGAUAACACUGACGCCCAUGCACGAAAGCGUGGGGAGCAAACAGGAUUAGAUACCCUGGUAGUCCACGCCCUAAACGAUGUCAACUAGUUGUUGGGGAUUCAUUUCCUUAGUAACGUAGCUAACGCGUGAAGUUGACCGCCUGGGGAGUACGGUCGCAAGAUUAAAACUCAAAGGAAUUGACGGGGACCCGCACAAGCGGUGGAUGAUGUGGAUUAAUUCGAUGCAACGCGAAAAACCUUACCUACCCUUGACAUGCCACUAACGAAGCAGAGAUGCAUUAGGUGCUCGAAAGAGAAAGUGGACACAGGUGCUGCAUGGCUGUCGUCAGCUCGUGUCGUGAGAUGUUGGGUUAAGUCCCGCAACGAGCGCAACCCUUGUCUCUAGUUGCUACGAAAGGGCACUCUAGAGAGACUGCCGGUGACAAACCGGAGGAAGGUGGGGAUGACGUCAAGUCCUCAUGGCCCUUAUGGGUAGGGCUUCACACGUCAUACAAUGGUGCAUACAGAGGGUUGCCAAGCCGCGAGGUGGAGCUAAUCCCAGAAAAUGCAUCGUAGUCCGGAUCGUAGUCUGCAACUCGACUACGUGAAGCUGGAAUCGCUAGUAAUCGCGGAUCAGCAUGCCGCGGUGAAUACGUUCCCGGGUCUUGUACACACCGCCCGUCACACCAUGGGAGUGGGUUUUGCCAGAAGUAGUUAGCCUAACCGUAAGGAG